rnacentral:rRNA from 1 species
AGAGUUUGAUCCUGGCUCAGGAUGAACGCUGGCGGCGUGCUUAACACAUGCAAGUCGAACGAACCUACGGGUUAGUGGCGGACGGGUGAGUAACGCGUGAGAAUCUGCCCUUAGGAGGGGGAUAAUGGCUGGAAACGGCCGCUAAUACCCCAUAUGCCGAGAGGUGAAAGGAGAAAUCGCCUGAGGAUGAGCUCGCGUCUGAUUAGCUAGUUGGUGAGGUAAGAGCUUACCAAGGCAAUGAUCAGUAGCUGGUCUGAGAGGAUGAUCAGCCACACUGGGACUGAGACACGGCCCAGACUCCUACGGGAGGCAGCAGUGGGGAAUUUUCCGCAAUGGGCGAAAGCCUGACGAAGCAACGCCGCGUGAGGGAUGAAGGCCUCUGGGCUGUAAACCUCUUUUCUCAAGGAAGAAGAUCUGACGGUACUUGAGGAAUAAGCCACGGCUAAUUCCGUGCCAGCAGCCGCGGUAAUACGGGAGUGGCAAGCGUUAUCCGGAAUUAUUGGGCGUAAAGCGUCCGCAGGCGGCCUUGUAAGUCUGCUGUCAAAGAGUGGAGCUUAACUCCAUAAAAGCAAUGGAAACUGUAAGGCUUGAGUGUGGUAGGGGCAGAGGGAAUUCCCGGUGUAGCGGUGAAAUGCCUAGAUAUCGGGAAGAACACCAGUGGCGAAGGCGCUCUGCUGGGCCAUAACUGACGCUCAUGGACGAAAGCCAGGGGAGCGAAAGGGAUUAGAUACCCCUGUAGUCCUGGCCGUAAACGAUGAACACUAGGUGUCGGGGGAAUCGACCCCCUCGGUGUCGUAGCCAACGCGUUAAGUGUUCCGCCUGGGGAGUACGCACGCAAGUGUGAAACUCAAAGGAAUUGACGGGGGCCCGCACAAGCGGUGGAGUAUGUGGUUUAAUUCGAUGCAACGCGAAGAACCUUACCAGGGUUUGACAUCCUGCGAAUCCCUUGGAAACGAGGGAGUGCCUUCGGGAGCGCAGAGACAGGUGGUGCAUGGCUGUCGUCAGCUCGUGUCGUGAGAUGUUGGGUUAAGUCCCGCAACGAGCGCAACCCACGUCUUUAGUUGCCAGCAUUGAGUUGGGCACUCUAGAGAGACCGCCGGUGAUAAACCGAAGGAAGGUGUGGAUGACGUCAAGUCAUCAUGCCCCUUACAUCCUGGGCUACACACGUACUACAAUGCUACGGACAGAGGGCAGCAAACUCGCGAGAGCUAGCAAAUCCCAUAAACCGUGGCUCAGUUCAGAUCGUAGGCUGCAACUCGCCUACGUGAAGGAGGAAUCGCUAGUAAUCGCAGGUCAGCAUACUGCGGUGAAUACGUUCCCGGGCCUUGUACACACCGCCCGUCACACCAUGGAAGUUGGCCACGCCCGAAGCCGUUACUCCAACCCUUGUGGAGGAGGACGUCGAAGGUGGGGGCUGAUGACUG